rnacentral:rRNA from 1 species
GAUGAACGCUGGCGGCGUGCCUAAUACAUGCCAGUCGAGCGAACAGACGAGGAGCUUGCUCCUUCGACGUUAGCGGCGGACGGGUGAGUAACACGUAGGUAACCUACCUAUAAGACUGGGAUAACUUCGGGAAACCGGAGCUAAUACCGGAUAAUAUUUCGAACCGCAUGGUUCGAUAGUGAAAGAUGGCUUUGCUAUCACUUAUAGAUGGACCUGCGCCGUAUUAGCUAGUUGGUAAGGUAACGGCUUACCAAGGCAACGAUACGUAGCCGACCUGAGAGGGUGAUCGGCCACACUGGAACUGAGACACGGGCCAGACUCCUACGGGAGGCAGCAGUAGGGAAACUUCCGCAAUGGGCGAAAGCCUGACGGAGCAACGCCGCGUGAGUGAUGAAGGUCUUCGGAUCGUAAAACUCUGUUAUUAGGGAAGAACAAACGUGUAAGUAACUGUGCACGUCUUGACGGUACCUAAUCAGAAAGCCACGGCUAACUACGUG